rnacentral:rRNA from 1 species
AUGGCGUCGUCCGACGACUGGGGCGACGACGCGGCCGGCGGGGAGUGGACCACCGUCACCCGCUCCGGCCGGCCCAGCCACGCCGGCGCGGCCGGGUGCUCCCCCAACGCCAAGCGGGCCGCUCCCCGGCCCCCCAAGCCGGCCGCGCCGACGGUGGGCGAGGUCGGCGAGGGGCUGGCGGGGCUCGACGUCGAGGGCGGCGGGGGCCGGGCGGGGAGGCUGGACAAGUACGACAUACCGGUGGAGGUGAGCGGCGACGGCGCGCCCGCGCCGGCGGACGGGUUCGAGCAGGCCGGGCUCGCGGAGGCCGUGCUGCGGAACGUCGCGAGGUGCGGCUACGACCACCCCACGCCCGUGCAGCGCUACUCGAUCCCGAUAGUGCUGUCCGGGAGGGACCUCAUGGCGUGCGCGCAGACCGGGUCCGGCAAGACCGCCGCGUUCUGCCUCCCGGUGGUCAGCGGGCUGGUGGCGGCGGCGGCGGCGGAGGGAGGGCCAGGAGGCGAAGGGGGUCGCGGCGACAGGGAUGCGUACGACUACGACUACCGCCGCACGGCGAGGCCGCUCGCUCUCGUGCUCGCGCCCACUCGUGAGCUCGCAGCACAGAUUAAUGAGGAGGCAAAGAAGUUUGCUCACAAAACUGGACUCAAAGUUAAGGUGGCCUAUGGAGGAACUUCAAUUGUUCAACAGCUACGUGAUAUAGAGAAAGGCGCAGAUAUUCUUGUUGCUACACCCGGGCGCCUUGUGGACAUGAUUGAAAGAGGAAAGAUCUCUCUUGAGGCAAUUAAGUACCUGAUAAUGGACGAGGCUGACAGGAUGCUGGAUAUGGGGUUUGAGCCUCAGAUAAGGAAGAUUGUUGAUGGGAUGGGUAUGCCACGAAAGUCUGUGAGACAAACUAUGCUGUUCAGUGCAACCUUCCCACCAGAAAUACAGAGACUGGCUUCAGACUUUUUGUCAAAGUACAUAUUUAUCACUGUUGGGAGGGUGGGUUCAAGUACUGACCUAAUUACACAGCAAGUUGAGUUUGUCACUCACGACGAGAAAAGGACCUACCUGAUAGAUCUCUUACAGAAGCAAUCUUUCACUUCAUCUGAUGGCAAGCCUCAGCAGCCUCUAACAUUGGUUUUUGUGGAGACAAAACGAGAAGCUGAUUCAUUGAGGUAUUGGCUAUACAACAAAGGUUUCCCUGCAACAGCGAUCCAUGGUGACAGAACACAAGAGGAGAGGGAAAGCGCACUGAGAUCCUUCAAGUCUGGCUUGACCCCUGUCAUGGUCGCCACUGAUGUUGUCGCGCGAGGCCUGGAUGUCCCAAAUGUUGCUCAUGUCAUCAACUACGAUCUUCCCAAGAGCAUAGAGGAUUACGUCCACAGGAUUGGAAGAACUGGGAGAGCUGGAAAUGCUGGCAGUGCCACCGCCUUCUUCACUGAAUCCAACCACCCCAUAGCAAAGGGAUUACUGGAACUGAUGACCGAGGCAAAACAGAAUGUUCCUCCCUGGCUAGAGGACUAUGCAGGGAAGCCAUUCUAUGGAGGGUCAAGCUUCGGCGGAAGAGGUCGAAGGUCCAAUGGCGAUGGUGGCAGCAGCUCUGGUGGCAGAGAUUAUCGCGGUGGCAGCGACUAUUCUGGCUACUCUGGCGGUGGUGGCGGUGGCAGGAGCUACUCUGGUGUUGGUGGUGACCGCUACUCCAGUGGCAGCGGUGGUGACCGCUAUUCUGGUGGCGGCGGGGGUGGUGACCGCUACUCCGGCGGCAGGAGCUACUCUGGUGGUGGUGGUGGUGACCGCUAUUCCGGUGGCGGUGGUGGUGGUGGUGACCGCUACUCCGNNNNNNNNNNNNNNNNNNNNNNNNNNNNNNNNNNNNNNNNNNNNNNNNNNNNNNNNNNNGGCGGUGGCAGGAGCUUCUCUGGUGCUGGUGGUGGCGGUGACAGCUACUCGGGCGGUGGCGGAGACAGGAGCUACUCUGGUGGUGACAGCUACUCCGGUGGCGGUGGCAAGAGCUACUCCGGUGGUGGUGGUGGUGGCAGAUACUCCAGUGGCGGGGGCUCCUCAAGGGCAAGCGAUCCACCUCCACGCUACUACCCAUCCCACCCCAUGGGCACGUCAAACAUCAGCGCCUCUGGCUGGGACUAG